rnacentral:rRNA from 1 species
AGCGAACGCUGGCGGCAGGCCUAACACAUGCAAGUCGAACGAACCUUUCGGGGUUAGUGGCGGACGGGUGAGUAAGACGUGGGAACGUGCCUUUAGGUUCGGAAUAACUCAGGGAAACUUGUGCUAAUACCGAAUGUGCCCUUCGGGGGAAAGAUUUAUCGCCUUUAGAGCGGCCCGCGUCUGAUUAGCUAGUUGGUUGAGGUAAUGGCUCACCAAGGCGACGAUCAGUAGCUGGUCUGGGAGGAAGGUCAGCCACAUUGGGACGGGGACACGGCCGAAACUCCUACGGGAGGCAGCAGUGGGGAAUCUUGCGCAAUGGGCGAAAGCCUGACGCAGCCAUGCCGGGUGAAUGAUGAAGGUCUUAGGAUUGUAAAAUGCUUUCACCGGUGACGAUAAUGACGGUACCCGGAGAAGAAGCCCCGGCUAACUUCGUG